GUGCUCUUCAGAUCUCAGGAAAGGCUUAAUUAGAGUUUGCAGCAAAGCAGAACUAGACAAGGCUUGACCGAGGCACGACCUCUGUGGCUAAAACUAGUAAAGGGCAAAAGUGUAGUUACUAAAACAUAACCUGAUUGUCAUAGUAACUGUCAAACAUAGAUGGAUCUAGACAAAGCUUGCCCAGUCUUGCCCAGCCUGUAACAAUCUGCUACUUCCCUAUGAUAGACCAAGCCCUAGCAGUGAUCUAUGAAGCAUGACCAGCCACAGCUCAGCUAUAAAGCAGUGUGUGUAAAGAAUAAAGUUGCUGGUGCCUUGUGCCAGUCCUCCCAACCCCGUCUCAUGGUCUCUUGUAUUUCAUCCCACGCCACCUCUACCCGUC